CUCAACAAUCGCGAAGACAAAAGUUCCAAAGCUUAUCUCACAACCCAUGUGGCUUAAGAUAUGCGAGUCAUUUGAAAACAAAGAAUGAAAGGACAAGUCCACACGUAAUAAGAAGAAUAGAUCGGAGUUGAAGACCAAUCACACAUCUGGCUCUAGAUCUUUUCUUAAUCAUCGCCAUAGUGAGGCAGGAGAGGAUGAAGAAGAGCCCAAUCUAAUUGACUUUUAUAAGAUCUCUCACACAAAUAAAGACGGGAAAUUUGUGACUCCGCAGUGUGAAGAACGAUACAAUUUGAUGGUAGAGAAGUUGGCUGACAAAGAGGUAGAAGUAGAUGAAGAGGAAAUAUUUACAUAAGCUCUUGGUGGGAAACGUUCUGGCCA